UAAUCUCCCCAGAUGGUUGGCCAAGGGUUUUGUAUUGGUCUCAGGCCAGCUGGUAGUAUGCUCAGAGGAGGGCCUCCCCUGAGAUGUGGUAACGCUUCAGGCAGAAGGAAGCUGAUCAUUAGGACAAUAACUCACAAUCAACAGCAUAGCAUAUGUUGUGCCUUGUGUACAGAAAGAUGAGGGAUUGAUCCAUCCCAGACUGAAAUCCUCUAUCUAUGGAAGAGAUGCAUGGUUUUAUCAGUGACAUGAGCAGAGUAUAGUAGAACCUCAAAGAUACAGACUGACCGGUCAACCGGACACCUUGAGGAACCUGAACUGCUAAUUGCAUCUGGAAGGGGGAUGCACUCUGUACAGUGACCCCUCCCCAUGCGUCUGCAGAGUCUUGUUUCUCCCAAGCCAGCCAAGAUUAGCCUCAAGGAGCCCCUGGCUGGGGCAUUUCCAACAACAUGGAAGAGAUCACUCGCCUCCACCUCCAGGAACCUCCUAUGGCUGCAGGAAGCUCUGCAGUUGCUGCCUUUGAGCCCAGAAGUGAGGGUGGCAAUCCUAUGAUGCUUGCACAUGUGCAUGCUCUCACACACCCACCCUGCAACAGGCUUUGGGGCAUGUCUGGAGGUAACUGUCCCUUGGCCCAGGGGUGGCCAACCUGUGGCUCCGGAGCCCAGGCGGCUCUUCAGAAGUUAAUAUGCGGCUCCUGGAGAAAGCGCCUAUACAAGGACUGGAGCUACAGGUGCCAACUUUCCAGUGUUCUGGGGGGUGCUCACUGCUCAACUCCUGGCUCUGCCACGGGCCCUACCCCCACUCUAUUCCUUCCUGCCCCCUCCCCUGAGCCUGCAGUGCCCUUGCUGCUCCUCUCCCCCCCUGCCCCCCGCCUCCUGCACGCCAUGAAACAGCUGAUAGGGAGGAAGGAAGCGGAGCCAAUCGCCAGGGCUGCCGAUGGGUGGGAGAUGUUGGGAGCGGGUUGGGGGAGUUGAUUUGGAGGGCGGGGGGCUGCUGACGUACUACUGUGGCUCUUUGGCAAUGUACAUUGGUAAAUUCUGGCUCCUUCUCAGGCUCAGGUUGGCCACCCCUGCCUUGGCCUGACAAAGGAUGCUGGGCACCCCUAACGUCCAGGAGUGUGCUGGCCCUUCAAGCACCAGUGAGCCUAGCUGCUUGGUU